GCGCUAAACUAGUGGAUUUCAUCAGCAUUUCAAAAUCCGUCUCGCCAUCUUCUUCCCUGCGAAAACCCCCUCCGCCGGCGGCCCGCAUCACCGCGUCCGCCAUUCCCACCCUCCACCUCCCCCUCCCUUUCCCCGAACAACCAGACCCCACUUGCACCGUGGCGGCAUCAGCAUUCUCUCCUCCCCAAGUCAAGUCUUCUCAAAAAACCCCAAUCCAACCACCGGCCAGGGCGGAAACCGUCGCACUUUAUUUAUACCCGGCCACGCGCUCCACCACGGCGACCCCGACGGCUCCCCCCUCCCCUCCGCCCGCUCCUAGCUCUAAGCGCCGCCGGAAGACUGACCCCGCCGCCGGAGCCACGGGGAACUCGCCGCUGCGCGGCGGCGGGAGAGGCCGCUCGCCGGCCUCCUCCGCCCCGCGCCGCUCUUCGCCUGGGCUUACAGGGCCGCAGGGAGGGUUUGACCCGCUCGACCCCAACGCGGAUCCGCCGGCCCGGGUCCUGAUGCCGGAUCAGGUGAAGCACUGCAAGACGGCGCUCAAGGUGCUCGACAAAACGCUCAAGAAGCCGGCCGCAAUAUUUGACGACUUUAGAGGCCUUCCGGCCAUAAGAACAUCGCUCCAGUUGGCUCAGAAGUUUACUGUGGCUCGAAGUCCUGCUAAUAGGGAAAGGAACCGCUACACUGAUGUCUUGCCAUUUGAUGAAACCAGGAUAAAGCUACAGUCCUCAACAGGCAAUCAGACUUCAAGUAAUGAUUACAUCAAUGCAAGCCUUAUAAAGUAUGAUGACAAAGAUCAGACAAAGUUCAUUUCUACUCAAGGUCCGCUAGUGAAUACAUUCGAAGACUUUUGGCAGAUGGUCUUUGAGAACAGCUGUCCUGUAAUUGUCAUGCUCACUAAAUUUGACAUUGUUAAGUGUGAUGAGUAUCUUCCACUGAGCAAGGGGCAAGGAGACUAUGGAAGAUUGAACAUUAAAAUCAUGGAGACCAGACAAGAUGGGGAAUUAACAUUGCGCAGUGUGAAGGUGCAACAUAACGAGUCAGAUAGAGUGCAUACUGUUCUCCACAUCCAGCACUCCACUUGGCCUGACCAUGGUGUGCCAGAUGACAGCAGUACUGUACGGAAGAUUCUAAAAAGAUUAUAUUACAUUCCUAAAGAGCACCCAGUUGUUGCACAUUGCAGUGCAGGCAUUGGGAGAACUGGUGCUUACAUCACAAUCCAUAAUACAGUAGAGAGGAUAUUACGUGGUGAACAAGCUGCUACAAAUCUUGUGGAAACUGUCGGGAAGUUUAGAUCCCAGAGACCUGGCAUGGUCCAAACAGAGGAACAAUACAAGUUCUGCUAUCAUGCAAUUGCGGAUGAGCUGAAAGAUCUGAUUAGGAAUUCGAAGCGCUGAAGCAUUUUCGGCGGUAAGCUUGAUGCAGAAACAUGUAUGAAAUACCACCGUGAUAAUGGGUAAUUGUGAGUCAUAUGUAACGGCCUGACGUAUCUGACCAUCUAUCACCUUCUCACUUCCUCAAUUUGUUAAGCUUAGCCGACAUCAUUGUUGUAUAUCACGAAGACUGGAAUUCGAAUUUCAGCCGGAAGCUCUCGGAGACACUUUCCUUUUUCUUUUCUGAUCAGGAUUUCACCAAUUUGAUCGUGUCGGCUGGCUCACAUCCAGAAUCACGUGGGUACCCGCUAUGCAUUCACCUGCGUUGCUUCUCUUGCUGAAUUGUUAUGUGCUGAGGCCAGAAGGUUGACAUAUCAACUGGUGCAUUACCACCUUAGCUUGCGUGGGUUGAUGACAGAUGUAUGAACUCAGAUGUCUACCAAAGUUUGACGCGGACGUAUCUAGAAAUGGAGAUUGAAGCUGCAUAAGCCAUUCUAUCUCCGUUUCUUGAUACGCCUCUUGUUUGUUUCUGUCCAGUUCUUGAUGCCGCUUCUGAAACUCAAGGCCAGAAUCAAAGCAUAUGGCCGUCCAUAUUUGUAUGUCCCGAGAAAAAAAAACAUGUAGGCUAUCCCUGUUUCAUUCACCAAAAGGGAUAGCAUUUUUAUCCA